GCCUCACCAGUCCCCUCCCCUUGCCUUCCCCCGCUCGUCUUCCCAUCACCUCUCCUUUCUGUCUUGGCUCCUUUCUGCACCCCUGCACUGGCCUAUGCCCCAGGCUGAGUACUGCAGAGCCAGAGCCUAAGAAGAGGGAGUCUCGGGGGCCAGGACUCCAACGUAUGGGGGCACAUCCACAGACUCGCUAGUGGGGGUGAGGCAAAGCUGCCCCAGCAAAGCCCACACCUGAGGAAGAUGCCCAGACCGCAUCUGGAUGAUGAAAAACACAACUGAUUCGAGAAGUUCAGUGCAAGCCAAGUAGGAUCAGAUCACGCUCAGGCACAUCCACAACAAGCUGAAGAAAAUGAACAUUAAAAAGGAAAAUCUGGAGAAAACAGUACUCUGUGCAGCGGGAAGCGGCGCACCUCAGCAGGAACCGUGGGGGCCGGUGGACAACAGGACACGUUCUUCCUUGAACCUGUUCUCCUCGUGGCUCCUGUGACCACUGGAUGGCCAACUGAGGAAGGCAGACAC